rnacentral:lncRNA from 1 species
AUGGCAGUGUUCCUCUCAUAUUUUUGCUACAGCUGCAGAAUUUGGAUUUGCCUCAUCUGUGAAGUUUGCAUCAUUUAUUCUGUUAUUUUCCAGUUUAAUACCGUGAACAAUCUCUACUGUAUAAAGCAGUAUAACAAUAAAUGUGACUUGAUUUUACUUGAAAUGCUUACAGAAAUGUCUUUUUCCUGUUUCCCCUCCCGUCCUGUAUCCAACAUCAUCAAUAGACUCAAGCACCAUCUAGGGAUUCUAAAGAUGGAUGUUCUUCAGGGGCCAGACCUGAGAAUUCCUUCAGAAAAAAAUCCAAACCUUUGGAAGUGUCUCUCUCGAGUUCUGGCAUCAGGCAGGAUCAGCCGCAGCAGAGAGAUGGAGAAGCUCGUCCUUCGCCUGUAACAUGAGCCCUCACAUUCUCUCAGCUCUUCUCUCUAUCUGAAGACACAUGUGUCUACUCAGCAGUGUGCAGGGAACAUGUUGUGCAGCUUUUGUUUUAUAUUUUCAGUUUUUAUUUUAAUUUUAGUUUUAGUAAUUUUGUUUAGUCACUUUUGUCCAUUUUUAUUAGUUUUUGUAUAGAUUUUUUUUUAUUUACUUUACGUAAUUAAUUUACUUUCGUUGAUGGUGCUGUCUCAGAUCUGCCCAUAUUCUUUGUUUUAGGUAUUAAUAAUUUGCUGGUUGUGUAGUAACUCUCAAGUUUUAUUUAACAUUAUCAGGUUAAACAAGCUACAUAUUGUAUGAAAGCCUCUGUAUUUGAUCUGCGAUUUGCUUGACAAUUUUGAUGUCAGGGCAGCAGGCAUAAAGACAAGGUUAGAGCUUUCACAGGCUUACAUACACUUUCUCAUCAAAUAUCCACUAUUAGUAUGCACCAAUAAUCUCCAACAAUAUAACGUGAUGUGCCAUCUAGAGUGUAAUCACUAACAUUAGAAAAUUGCGGAAUCAUAUCACUCAGUACCACCAUCAUUAUCCUGAUUAAAAUAAUGGUGCAAUUUAUAUGAGCUGUGAAUGUCCUCUUGAGCCCUGUUAAGUUGUAUUGUUGUAUUUUUUCGGCUGUGAUUUUACCCCAGCUUUGAAUCUACAAGGUCAAGCAAUGGGUAUGAAAUGUUUUCAAAAUUCAGUAUGAUUAAAAAUAUCAGAGACAUGAGAGACAGCAACACUGCCUGUGUGGCCUCGUAACAUAACCUUCUAGUUUUGGUGGAGUGUUUAAUACAAAAAAAAAACAACAUGUAGACCUUUAUCAAAAAAAAAAAAAACAUGUAGACCUUUACUAAUUUUCACAAACAGCAUCAUAAGCAUCUGCAUGCAUAUACUUCUGGCUGGAUACCAAACAGAGUCAUAUCCCUGUGUUAUUGUGGGCCAAGUAAGAACUAAUAAAUCAGACAAACACAUUUGGAGACCCCAAAUCUGAAAAAGGAACUAAAUUGGAUCUUAAGCAAGAUAAGAUUGACCAUUUAUCUAAGACAGCACCGUACAAAGACUACAGAAGGAACAAUUCUUGGGUGAGUAAAUAGAAACUUGUAGUUCAAGGUGUGUUUUCUUGGCCACAGAUCACAGUCUGUUAAAGUUUCUACAAAGAAAAAU